rnacentral:rRNA from 1 species
AUUAGGUGAAGUCAAUGAUCCCAUGCUGCCAAGAAAAGCCUCUAGCGAGCUUCGAGCGGCCCGUACCCCAAACCGACACAGGUGGUCAGGUAGAGAAUACCGAGGCGAUCGGGCGAACUGUGGUUAAGGAACUCGGCAAAUUACCCCCGUAACUUCGGGAAAAGGGGGGCCACAGACUGUCAUACCCCACGCGGGUGGCAGCAGUAGGUGGCCGCAGAGACCAGGGGGAAGCGACUGUUUACUAAAAACACAGGUCCGUGCGAAGUCGUAAGACGAUGUAUACGGACUGACGCCUGCCCGGUGCUGGAACGUUAAGGGGACCGGUUAGUCCGCAAGGGCGAAGCUGAGAACUUAAGCGCCAGUAAACGGCGGUGGUGACUAUAACCAUCCUAAGGUAGCGAAAUUCCUUGUCGGGUAAGUUCCGACCUGCACGAAUGGCGUAACGACUUCCCUACUGUCUCAACCACAGGCCCGGCGAAAUUGCACUACGAGUAAAGAUGCUCGUUACGCGCGGAAGGACGGAAAGACCCCGGGACCUUCACUAUAGCUUGACAUUGGUAUCCGAAUUUAAUUGUGUAGGAUAGGUGGGAGGCUUUGAUCCGCGGACGCCAGUCCGUCGGGGAGCCAACGUUGAAAUACCACUCUGUUGAAUUUGGGUAUCUAACUUCGGACCGUGAUCCGGUUCAGGGACAGUGUCUGGUGGGUAGUUUAACUGGGGCGGUUCCUCCUAAAAUGUAACGGAGGCGCCCAAAGGUUCCCUCAGCCUGGUUGGCAAUCAGGUGUUGAGUGCAAGUGCACAAGGGAGCUUGACUGUGAGACUGACAGGUCGAGCAGGGACGAAAGUCGGGACUAGUGAUCCGGCACCUGCGAGUGGAAGCGGUGUCGCUCAACGGAUAAAAGGUACCCCGGGGAUAACAGGCUGAUCUUCCCCAAGAGUCCAUAUCGACGGGAUGGUUUGGCACCUCGAUGUCGGCUCGUCGCAUCCUGGGGCUGGAGUAGGUCCCAAGGGUUGGGCUGUUCGCCCAUUAAAGCGGCACGCGAGCUGGGUUUAGAACGUCGUGAGACAGUUCGGUCCCUAUCCUCCGCGCGCGUAGGAGACUUGAGAAGAGCUGUCCCUAGUACGAGAGGACCGGGACGGACGAACCUCUGGUUGCCAGUUGUCAUGCCAAUGGCACGGCUGGUUAGCUACGUUCGGAAGGGAUAACCGCUGAAAGCAUCUAAGCGGGAAGCUCGCUUCAAGAUGAGGUCUCCCACCCCUUGAGGGUUAAGGCCCCCAGCUAGACCACUGGGUUGAUAGGCCAGAAGUGUAAGCCUGGUAACAGGUUCAGCCGACUGGUACUAAUAGGCCGAGGACUUCACCAC